GACCCCAUCCUCACUUUGCCACCAGGAUUCCUUGUGUCCUCAGUGGUCAUUCAUAUGGGGGAAAAUAUUUUGUCCUUAAGCACGCCAGUCAGACUCAAGUUUGACCUGGGGUUGCAUUGAGGAGACAGAA
rnacentral:snoRNA from 1 species